GACGAACGCUGGCGGCGUGCUUAACACAUGCAAGUCGAACGGAAAGGCCCUGCUUUUGUGGGGUGCUCGAGUGGCGAACGGGUGAGUAACACGUGAGUAACCUGCCCUUGACUUUGGGAUAACUUCAGGAAACUGGGGCUAAUACCGGAUAGGAGCUCCUGCUGCAUGGUGGGGGUUGGAAAGUUUCGGCGGUUGGGGAUGGACUCGCGGCUUAUCAGCUUGUUGGUGGGGUAGUGGCUUGCCAAGGCUUUGACGGGUAGCCGGCCUGAGAGGGUGACCGGCCACAUUGGGACUGAGAUACGGCCCAGACUCCUACGGGAGGCAGCAGUGGGGAAUAUUGCACAAUGGGCGGAAGCCUGAUGCAGCAACGCCGCGUGCGGGAUGACGGCCUUCGGGUUGUAAACCGCUUUCGCCUGGGACGAAGCGUGAGUGACGGUAAUGGGUAAAGAAGCACCGGCUAACUACGUG
rnacentral:rRNA from 1 species